UCAAAUCAAUAACAAAAGACUAGUAUCAUGAAUUUUGUGAAGAUUAACUUUCUUGCUCAUUUUAUUGUCUAUAUCCUAUUCAAACCUGCUCAUUUGGUCGAGAUUUCUUAUGAAUCAUAAUUGGAAUUCCCAAGGAGGACAAGUUAUGUUCAUUACCAUCAUUCCCUCUCGCUAUUCUCAAUAAUGAACCUAAGGUAAAGUAUCAGUUAGAUUCUAUAGCUGUUUUGGUGCUUUAAAUGCAUUUUUAUUUUCCAAUUAUAAAAUUACAUUACUACUCCUAGGAUUUAACUGAAGUGGUGCUGCAGUUAAACUAUAAUAGAAUUGAUCUUCUUGGAGUUAAGAACCAGUUUGAACUUUUUUAUAUAAUAUAUCUUCUUGGAGUUAAGUACCAGUUUGAACUUGUUUAUAUAACAUAACUACAUAAAAGAAAAGGUGACUUUGAGAUUGGACAAUCUUGGCUGUGUAUGUUCAAGAUUUUAUAGCUUAGAUUGUUUUUAUGCUUUGAAUUUAUUUGCUUUCUUGAGUUAUGAUUUGUUGGUGUUUGGGAGUUUGAUCUUUGUAUGUUCCUGCUUCUAGGUUCUGUUGUUUUCUUUUGUGUUGUAGAGUCUGUAACACCAACAUCAAAUAGCUCAAUACAUUUUUUUUUUAGUUAAUCAAUUUCCAAAAGAUUUCAUUAAUAAAGUGUGUACACCUCUCUUAAUAUGCACAAGCGUACUUAUGCGUAUCACAAAGAGAAACAAAUAGCUUUUAGUCACAUUCCUAGGUUUAAAAGAAAAAUUAAGACAACAAAAACUAUAUUGUUGCCACUAUAUAAUUGACCCUAAAAUAUUCUCAUUGCAAAACAACAAACAAACAUUUUGGAUUAGAUGUGUUUAGGUAGUAAAUAUAUGGAAUUUGAAUAUCUGUCUACUAUCCAAGAUACUAUAUUCCCUUCCAUGCUCAACCUUAAACUAUUAUCUUUACAUUGCGUAAACUUUUCAUUUAUUUUGUACUUUGAUUCCUUUAGUAUUUGUGAUAAAAUUUGUUAUUGUCAUCAUCAUGUUUAUUUGUUGAUGUGUGCUUCUACAAAAAAUAUUGGUUUUCGAUCUUCAUGCUAGAAUAACCGCAGAAAUUGCUUUGACACAUCCCAUUUCAUAAAGCAGGUGAAUAGAAAAAUUUAAAUGAAACUGCUGGAUUUGUUAUGGUACGUACCUAUGCUAUGUUUUUUUAUCCGAUAUGACAAGUUUUAAGUUUUUUUUGAAUGGACUAUCAUAAUUCUUUUUUUUUUUUAGAUAAUACCUCUUUGCAUUUGAGGAUGUUUGUCGUUGGGCAGGGCUUUAUAGACCUUUAAAUUGAUAAAUUUUACAUGUUAAAAAAUCAAACAUUCAAUGUUGGUAGUUUUAAAAUUCUUAAGCCCUAGUAAUAAAAUGUGGUAUCCCUUUUUGUUUGCACUUUCUUUUAUUUUAAUAAAUUUUUUUAUUUUUCUCAAAAAGUUAUGUAAAGGAAUAGGUAGAGCUCAGGGAGGGAAUAUAAUACAUGUCAUUGCUUGACAUCUAUUUUUAAAAUUAUUGCUCAUUUAAGGCCGAACCAUGACUAGUUUCAAACACUUUAAUAUGAUUAUUUAUAGGAAGUUCUAUUUGUUGAGAUGGAAAUAAAAGGUGCAAAUAUAAUGGAUGAUGAUUUAGUCCAAACUCUUAAGGCCAAAUCUGACCUUGAGAGUGCUUAUUUUUGGGCCUUCGCAAUCUAGAAAAACUUGAUCACAGGGCCUAAACAUUUUAAAACUAUCAGCAUGAAAUAUUUGAUUUUUUAACAUGUAAAAUUUAUUAGUUUAGGGGCAUAUAAAACUCUACUAAUAUAAAAACCUAACGACUCCUCAAAUGCAUAGAGGCACUAUAAAAAAAAAGAAGAAUCAUGAUAACCUAUUCAAAAGACUUAAAGCUUGCCAUGUCAGAUGAAAAAACCAAUAAAGUUACAUACCAUAAUAAAUGCAGCAGUUUCAUUUAAAUUUUUCUAUUCACCUACUUUGUGAAGUAAGGAAGUGCCAAAGUAGCUUCUGCGGUGAUUCUAGCAUGAGGAUCGAGAACUAAUAUUUUUUACAAAAGCACACAUCAACAAGUAAACAUGACGAUGACAAUAACAAAUUUCAUCAUACAUGCUGAAGGAAUCAAAGCAUAAAAUAAAUAAAGAGUUUGCGUGAUAUAAAGAUAAUAGUUUGAUGUUUGGCAUAAAAGGGAAUAUAACAUCCUGAAUAGUGGAUAGGUAUUCAAAUUCUAUAUAUUUACUACCUAAAGAUACCUAAUCCAGAAUGUAUAUUUGUUGUUUGAUAAUGAGAAUAUUUCUGGGUCAACUAUACAGUGGCAGUAAUUUAGUUUUUAUUGUCUUGAUUUUUCUUGUAGACCUAGGAUAACAUCUCAUUGUGAUUAAAAGCUACUUGUUUCUAUUUGAGAUGCGCGUAAGUGCAGUUGUAUAUAUCAAGAUAGGUGUGUAUAUUUUAUUAAUAAAACCUUUUAGAAAUUAAUUAACUGAAGAAGUAAAAAAUUUACUGAGUUAUCUGAUAUUGGUGCUACAAUCCCUACAAAACAGAAGAAAACAACAAAACCUAAAAACAGAAACAUGCAAAGAACAAACACCAACAAAUCACAAUCUAAGAAAACGAAUAAAUUCAAAGUAUAAAAACAAUCUAAACUAGAAAAUCUUGAACAUACUUAGCCAACAAUAUCCAAUCUUAAAGACAUCUUUUUUUUUUUUUUUAUGUAGUUAUAUUAUAUAAACAAGUUCAAAUAGGUACUUAAACUCCAAGGAGAUUAAUUCCACUAUCGUUCAACUGUGAUAUUAUUUCAGUUAAAUAUUAGGAGCAACAACAUAAUUUUAUGAUUAGAAAAUAAAAAUACAUUUAAAGUACUUAAACAACUAUGAAGUCUAAUUGCUGCUUUAUCUUAGGUUCAUUUUUGGGAAUGACGAGAGGGAAUGAUAGUAAUGAACACUACUCGUUCUCCUUGGUUCUAGUUACGCUUUUAUACAAAAUCUUGAGCAAAUGAGUAGAUAGACAAUAAAAUAAGCAAGAAAGUUAAUCUGUAUAAAAAAUAAUGACACUUGAAUAUCUUUUUUAAUACUUUGAUCUUUGAAUGCCUUUCAAAUAAAUCAUUUUCCUUUGCCAUUUCAGUAAAUAUGCAUCCUAAAGACCAAACAUCAACAACAAUUGUGUAGGUUGGAGCACCUAAAUGCAUCUCUGGUGCUUUAUACGCAAUAAUAGUGAUUUAAGAAGCAUAAGCAUAACCAUGUGCUCCAAGUACUUGUAUGAGAAUUCAAAUAUUAAGGGAAAAAAAAUAAAGGAGCUACUGCAUUUUAUACUGCUACUAGAAUAGAUUACUUUGCAGUGUCAUUAGUGUAUAGGUUGUUUCUAUCGUACUGGCGCGCAAGCUAGCUUUGCUGCAUGCCUGGAAAAUAGGUGUAACACCAUUUCCUUAAUUUUUUUAGUAAUAGACUUUUCUUUGUACCUUGGCUAAUAUAGGAGCUUGUAUUAUAGUUGCUAAGUGUAAUGUUUUGUUUUUAACCUGAGGUGGUUGCUUGUCGGUUACAGGAUCCAAUUUCUUGCUAGAGCAUUCAAUCAAAAUAUACUUAAUCUUUCGAAGAUUUUACUUUUACAUAACGAAGAAUUUUAGUAGAAAAACAUGGAUGCGUUUAGUAAGUAAAAACAUUAUUUUCUCACAUGUGAGGACUAAGUGUAGUGUUGGAGUGAAUGAAAUCCCGUGUUGAUCCAAAGUCACUGAGCACUAGCUUUUUUCCAGAGAUGAGUAUAUUUUCUGGUUUCAAGUCACGAUGUAAAAUUUCAAGGUUGUGGUAGUACAAGGUACCACUGAGAAUUUGUUGCAUAAGCUCCUGCAACACUUAAAACUUUUCUCAAUUAAAUACAUGAUGCAAGUUAAAUAAUCCUUUUAUCUUUACUAUGUCUAGAUCUUUGAAUCUUCGUGAUUUUGCCUCCAAAAACUCUCUCAUAUUGAAAUUGAAGAGCUCAAACACCAAGCACAACUUGCUAUAAUAAAAGAAGACGCGUUAUAACCUAUGAAUCCAUUUCGUAUAUAUAUUAAGAGUCAUCGAAGGACAAAACCUCUAUUUUGAUUAGAGGAAAUAGCACACCUGACAAUGUUGGGAUAUUUUAUUUCAUACAACAAAUAGAUUUCUCCAACCAACAUUUUAGUAAUUUUAGCAUGUAAAAGAGGAAUCAUUUUCAUAGCUAUCGCUUGAUUAGUAGUAUUGUUAUUAGCUGAAUAAAUGAUUUCACUUACUCCUCCUA